AGUUUUAUAGUCAAUAAAUGAUAUUAAAUUGCAAAUUUAAAGUAAUAAUUUAAUUAUUAAAACUU
rnacentral:tRNA from 1 species